UGCACAAUCAUCAGAAGAUGAACAAGAAAAUGACAGGAAUACAAGAAAGAAGGCCAGAGUUCCGAGAAUGUAUGAAGUCAAGGAUGAUAGGCAUGCAGAAGCAUUCUCAAACCAUAUUUCACUUGCAAAAGAGGAUGCUCUUUCACUAGGUGAAAGGGUUGCAGGGUUGUCAAAUGGCAGAGCUUCUCAUGAUAUGAACAAUAUUAAGGUUGGUCCCGGAGGUUCGAGAGAAGUUUCAUUCUUUUCCAGGAGCUCAGCCAAGUAUGUGGAAGAUGAUGGAGAGAAGGAAACACGAACCGAAAAGAGAAGAGGGGUCCAGUCCUUAAAACUGAAGCCUGAGAGAUCAGGUUUUCAGGGGUCAGGUUCUCGAGGGCGGGGGAGAGGAGGAAGAGGUCGUGGAAUGGGCAGAGGAAGAGGUAGAGGUAGA
rnacentral:misc_RNA from 1 species